rnacentral:rRNA from 1 species
GACGAACGCUGGCGGCGUGCUUAACACAUGCAAGUCGAACGGAAAGGCCCUGCUUUUGUGGGGUGCUCGAGUGGCGAACGGGUGAGUAACACGUGAGUAACCUGCCCUUGACUUUGGGAUAACUUCAGGAAACUGGGGCUCAUACCGGAUAGGAGCUCCUGCUGCAUGGUGGGGGUUGGAAAGUUUCGGCGGUUGGGGAUGGACUCGCGGCUUAUCAGCUUGUUGGUGGGGUAGUGGCUUACCAAGGCUUUGACGGGUAGCCGGCCUGAGAGGGUGACCGGCCACAUUGGGACUGAGGUACGGCCCAGACUCCUACGGGAGGCAGCAGUGGGGAAUAUUGCACAAUGGGCGGAAGUCUGAUGCAGCAACGCCGCGUGCGGGAUGACGGCCUUCGGGUUGUAAACCGCUUUCGCCUGUGACGAAGCGUGAGUGACGGUAAUGGGUAAAGAAGCACCGGCUAACUACGUG